CUCUGUCCUCCUGAGCUCCCAGGAGGGUUCUCCUCUGUCCUCCUGACUGGUGACUGGGUCCCAGAAGGAAGGAGGAGGACAGAGGAGGUAAAUUACUGGCUGAGGGGAUGGUGUCGGGAUCGAGGUUUUGUGUACCCUGAUCUUGGGCACGCCUUUGAGAGACCGGGUGUGAGCAUGAGACGGAAUGCGACUGAGUAGCUGGGGCCAAAGUGCUCUGGUGAGCAAGCUGGCUGGGCUGCUUACCAGAGCGUUAAACAAGACUUGAUGGAGGAAGGGGGUGGAGUUCCUUGUGACAGAGAAGGGCCUGGGAAUGCUGUCUUUUUUAGUAAACUGUGUAGAAAAACCUCCCAGUUGUCCAGUAGGAUUCCGGUAGUUGCGAGGACUCUUCAGAGAAAAUAACAUUGCCAAGAGCCCGGCUUAAACCUUCCUGCAUCCCUCUAGAGAUACCUGCACCCUCUGCUUCCCUACAGUGCCCGUAUAGCAAUGCACACCACAUGGGGAAUAAACAAAAAGAACUAGAGAUCCGUGCGUGCUUACAAGGAUGUGAUCUCAUUGCAAUCCCAGAGACAUGGUGGGACAGCUCACACAAGUGGCAUGCUGUUGUGGGUGGCAAGGCAAGGUGAGGUGGGGGACUUGCUCUUUAUGUGAGAAACUGCUAGAAUGCAUUGAGCUCCACUGUGGGAGGGGGGGGUGGGGGGGGGGGAUGAUGAAGAAGUGGAUAGCUUGUGGGUAAGAAUUAAGGGGCGGGCUAACAUAGGUGACACUGUUGUGGGUGUGUGCUACAGGCCACCUGAUUAGGAGGAGGUUGGGAUGCAGCAAUCAUGAGGUAGUGGCGUUCAAGAUCUUGUGUGGAAGAAUCAAAGCAAUAAGUAGGAGUGCUACCCUGGACUUCAGGAGAGCCUACUUGAAGGUAUCCCACGGGCUAGUGUGUUAGAAGGUAAGGGGGCCCCUGAGAGCUCAUUGGCCCUUUAACUCCGCUUCUUCCGAGCUUAAGAUCAGUUGUGGAAGACAAAACUGUUUUGUUUUUUUUUUUUUGGCUCAAAGUUUGCUUUGUGAGGCCUUUCUUGUGAUAAG
ensembl:lncRNA